AGGUGUGGUGUUGGAUUAGAUGUUUGGUUUACAGCACUAACUGAUGAAAGUUUUUCCAACCCUGGAAAACAAUCUGUUCUUUUAAUAUUCACUGAAUAUUUUAACUGGAAAUCUAAUCUUCAAAAGACAUAUAAUUACAUGGCUCAAAAAGAAAAAGGUGCAACUGAGUUGAUUACCCUAAAGGCAGCUGAUCAUUACGAUCAAUCAGAUAUUCCUGGAAUAAUUCCAACAUUUUUUCAUCCAUUUCUCAAAGGAUUUCUUAGACAUCGAAUAUCUUAUGCUUCUGCUAUUGAUGUACAAAGAAAAGUGAUUUCUGAUUAUUUCAAAAAAUGUUAUAACAAGCAAG
rnacentral:lncRNA from 1 species